GCGGGCGCCUCGGCGGCGGGGGUGGGGGUUGGGCAUGAAGGGCGGAGGAGGGCGGAAGGCCUCCGACCCGCCCGCGACCCCCGGGGCGCCUUGAGGGCGUGGGAACUACCAAUCCCGGCGUGCUCCGGGUCGGCGCGGGCGCGCGGUGGGCAGCUGUUGGCUAGACCGGUUUGUUGCCUGGGUUGCGGAGAUGGGCUCUGCGGGCGGUGGCAAAUCCGGCGUUGCCUGAUGGCGCCUCUGACACGAAGCUGGGUGGGGUAAAGAGUAGAGGGCGGUAGUUGCGGCAGGUGGGAGAAGGAAGAGGCGGCGGUGAAUCGCUUAUAAAUGACUCCGAAGCAGGACCUGGAGACUAAAUUCCAGGAGGAUGACACAGAUUCACAUCAAGAUACAGAUGAUGUGCAAAGAAAACCCAUGCCCCCAAAGAGAUUACAGUCACUUCUCCAAACAGAUCCAGCGGGAAUAACCACAAAAGUCACUAAAACCACAUUAAGGGGUCACCUGGGACCCCUUAAUAGAACAGGACGAUAGCUCCAUGACUCCAACUAGGUAGGGUCUAUGAGUCCCGUGUCAGCAUUAAAGAAGUUACAGAAGACUGACCAUCUGUCCCUCAUCACCCCGAUAAAGAUUUCUUGGGGUUCACAUCUCAAGGAAAAUUUGAAGUAGGAGAUAGACGGUCCCUGGGCUGAAUAGCUGGUGAUUUUCAAACGGAGCAAAACUGAAGUUUGUCCUCAGCCAGACAAAAAUGACGUAUUUCCCUUCCUCCAUUGUUAGGAGGGAAUAAACUGACGGGGGAGUUGUUGCAGUGAAAAGGAAAAAAGAGGAAUGGGUUUUUCUUUUUCACUUCUCUGAGACCAAAGAAGAUAAAGAAGAACAGUGAGCAGGCCUGAACAUUCCUAGUUUAUUUUACUUUAACUGCUCCUGAUUCCGAAUGUCUGUAACUAAGUUUGCUUUUCUGCCUCCGAACUCUGCAGGAGCUACACUUGACUUGACUCCAUGCUAAGUACAUCCUCUGUCUGUAUCUGAUGUUUACAACAGCCUUCCCCUUGUAGUUACAUGUCAGAAAGAAGGCCUCAGAGCCACCAAACUGCCAGAUGCAGUUACUGGGUUACUGAUGUCAGUUUAUGACUGUCUUUGAAAUGAUGCAAGAGGAAGAAAUCAAAAUCCUAUCACCUUUGUUUCCUUAUCACUGACUCCUGACUGCUUCUGACUGUGAGCACCUGCUUUAGGGACACAGUUCUUGAGCCAGGAGCAUACUGUGUUCCCCUCUCCACUACCUGAGAAUAAAAGCCACUGUUCUAUUUCUUUCAAA